rnacentral:rRNA from 1 species
UACGUAGGGGGCUAGCGUUGUCCGGAAUCAUUGGGCGUAAAGCGCGUGUAGGCGGUCCGGUAAGUCCGCUGUGAAAGUCGGGGGCUCAACCCUCGGAUGCCGGUGGAUACUGUCGGGCUUGAGUACGGAAGAGGCGAGUGGAAUUCCUGGUGUAGCGGUGAAAUGCGGCAGAUAUCAGGAGGAACACCAAUUGCGAAGGCAGCUCGCUGGGACGUUACUGACGCUGAGACGCGAAGCGUGGGGAGCAAACAGG